rnacentral:rRNA from 1 species
UACGUAGGGUGCGAGCGUUAAUCGGAAUUACUGGUCGUAAAGCGUGCGCAGGCGGUUUUGUAAGCCAGAUGUGAAAGCCCCGGGCUUAACCUGGGAAUGGCAUUUGGGACUGCAGGGCUUGAGUGCGGCAGAGGAGACUGGAAUUCCUGGUGUAGCAGUGAAAUGCGUAGAUAUCAGGAGGAAUACCGAUGGCGAAGGCAGGUCUCUGGGCUGACACUGACGCUCAUGCACGAAAGCGUGGGGAGCAAACAGG